rnacentral:rRNA from 1 species
GUGCCAGCAGCCGCGGUAAAACGUAGGAGGCGAGCGUUAUCCGGAUUUACUGGGUGUAAAGCGCGUGCAGGCGGCUUUGGAAGUGGUGCGUGAAAGCGCUCAGGCUCAACCGGGCGAGGCCGUGCCAAACUGCAAAGCUGGAGGUAGGUAGAGGCGUGUGGAAUUCCGGGUGUAGUGGUGAAAUGCGUAGAGAUCCGGAGGAACACCAGUGGCGAAGGCGACACGCUGGACCUGACCUGACGCUCAGACGCGAAAGCAUGGGGAGCGAACGGGAUUAGAUACCCUGGUAGUCC